rnacentral:rRNA from 1 species
UACGUAGGGUGCGAGCGUUAAUCGGAAUUACUGGGCGUAAAGCGUGCGCAGGCGGUGAUGUAAGACAGUUGUGAAAUCCCCGGGCUCAACCUGGGAACUGCAUCUGUGACUGCAUCGCUGGAGUGCGGCAGAGGGGGAUGGAAUUCCGCGUGUAGCAGUGAAAUGUGUAGAGAUGUGGAGGAAUACCGAUGGCGAAGGCAGCCCCCUGGGCCAAUACUGACGCUCAUGCACGAAAGCGUGGGGAGCAAACAGG